ACCCGAAGAGGUCUUAACUCAAAAUCAUAGAGAUCCUGCAGGUAGUCUACCCGAGGAGGUCUUAACUCAAAAUCAUAGAGAUCCUGCAGGUAGUCAAUCU